rnacentral:rRNA from 1 species
AGGCCGCCCGGGUAACCUACCACCCUUUGUUUAUUACACUUUGUUGCUUUGGCAAGCCUGCCCUCGGGCUGCUGGCUCCGGCCGGCGAGCGCUUGCCAGAGGACCUAAACUCUGUUUGUCUAUACUGUCUGAGUACUAUAUAAUAGUUAAAACUUUCAACAACGGAUCUCUUGGUUCUGGCAUCGAUGAAGAACGCAGCGAAAUGCGAUAAGUAAUGUGAAUUGCAGAAUUCAGUGAAUCAUCGAAUCUUUGAACGCACAUUGCGCCCCCUGGUAUUCCGGGGGGCAUGCCUGUCCGAGCGUCAUUACAACCCUCAAGCUCAGCUUGGUGUUGGGCCCCGCCGCCCCGGCGGGCCCUAAAGUCAGUGGCGGUGCCGUCCGGCUCCGAGCGUAGUAAUUCUUCUCGCUCUGGAGGUCCGGUCGUGUGCUCGCCAGCAACCCCCAAUUUUUUUCAGGUUGACCUCGGAUCAGGUAGGGAUACCCGCUGAACUUAAGCAUAUCAAUAAGCGGAGGAA